rnacentral:rRNA from 1 species
UACAGGGGGUGCAAACGUUGUUCGGAAUUACUGGGCGUAAAGCGUGUGUAGGCGGCUUUGCAAGUCGGAUGUGAAAGCCCCGGGCUCAACCCGGGAAGUGCACUCGAUACUGCAGAGCUUGAGUGUCGGAGAGGUUGGUGGAAUUCUCGGUGUAGAGGUGAAAUUCGUAGAUAUCGAGAGGAACACCGGCGGCGAAGGCGGCCAACUGGACGACUACUGACGCUGAGACACGAAAGCGUGGGGAGCAAACAGG